UUCAUUAUAUGGCGACCAUGUUAUGUUAUGUUAACCACAAGAAUUGUGAAUUGAAUGUGAAAUGAAUUUAAUGAAUUAAAUGUGAAAAAAAGCUCCAGCUGAGAGGACUUCAUCAUAUGAAUUCAAUGAGGAGACAACAAUGCGAGCGACUAUUGGCAAACAGUAGACCAACACCAACUUCAACAAGAACAUCAGCGGUCUGCUCCUGGAUUGAAGCACGGCAACAACCAGCAACAUCCAUCUUCACCAACUUCAACAAACAACAGGAGCUUCGGAAAUAAUCAACACCGUUAUCAAUAAAAACGGAUGGAAUUCAAAAAAAAAACUGACAAAUACCAAAGACAGUAAAAAGCUGCCCCAGAGACUGCGAGGGACCCCUCAUCGCAUUGUAUUGAAUGCGAAUACACAAGCCAACAUUGUACUAAAGAAAACGUCACCAGGAUCAACAAGUGCGAAAGGCAGAGGACCGCCUUUUGCACCAACGAGGGAGCAUCAGCGUUGCACAUCCGGCGACGUCCAGCUGAUGCUGGAGAAAACAUUCAUUUUGGGAAAGAAGAGCCAAGGACACCCGAGGAUGGAAAUAUAAAUUUAAAGAACUUUUUUUUUAAAUACUAAAUAUAUGUAUAUACAUAAGAACUUUGUAAGAUAAUUUAAAACAUUAUAUACAUACAUAUAACCGAAUUGUAAAACAACCUAAAAUAUCAUGUAUACAAUUAUAAGAAAAUUUUAAAAUUGAGAGGAACCUUUUCUGCCCGAUUAGAAGUAUAGCCCGUAAAGCUAUACGAACCACUAGGUAGGAACUUAUGCCCUGUUUCAUUUUUCAAUAAAACCUGGUCUCCUAUUUUCAACUUGAAAUCUAAAA